rnacentral:rRNA from 1 species
AGAAUCAACGCUGGCGGCGUGCCUCAGACAUGCAAGUCGAACGCGAAAGUCCCCUUCGGGGAUGAGUAGAGUGGCGCACGGGUGAGUAACACGUAGGUAAUCUACCUUCGGAUGGGGAAUAACAAUCGGAAACGGUUGCUAAUACCGCAUAAUGCAGCGGCACCUAAUGGUGACAGUUGUUAAAGCGGGGGAUCGAAAGACCUCGCGUCUGAAGAGGAGCCUGCGGCGGAUUAGCUAGUUGGUAAGGUAAUGGCUUACCAAGGCUACGAUCC